CUCCUCACAUGUUGGAGCUUUAAAGAUACAGCUGUAUCAGGCCAGGCGUGGUGACUCAUGCCUGUAAUCCCAGCACUUUGGGAGACCGAGGAGGGCGAUCGAGACCAUCCUGACUAACAUGGUGAAACCCCAUCUCUUCUAAAAAUACAAAAAAUUAGCCAGACUUGGUGGUGUACGCCUGUAGUCCCAGCUACUCAGGGGGCUGAGGCAGGAGAAUCGCUUGAACCCAGGAGGUGGAGGUUGCAGUGAGCUGAGAUCGCGCCACUGCACUCCAGCUUGGGCGACAGAGCGAGACUCCAUCUAAAAAAUACAGCUGUAUCAAAUCUGCUUGUGCUUUGGCCAUCUGAGAGAUCUUAAGUGUGCAAUGCAAUGAGGAUGGAGCAACGUAUACACCAAUCAAGAGAAAGAACAUGUCCAUUACCCCAAAAAGUUCUCUUACACCCGCUUCCAGGCUAGAGUGCAGUGGUAGGAUCUCGGCUCACUGCAGCAUUGACCUCCUGGGCUCAAGCUAUCCUCCCACCUCAGCCUUCUGAGUAGCUGGGACCGCAGAGGUGCAUCACCAUACUCGGCUAAGUUUUGCAACUGAUCCUGAGCACACGUCUCCAUGGCGGCAGGAGUCAUUGCUUUUUAGAUCACGUUCUCCGAGCAAGAGCCGAGAAAUCGAUAUCUCUCACAAGGCUGUAGACGUGCUGGAACUGAUUAGUCAUUAACCUAUUGUCACUCCUCCCAGCGCUCAUGGAAGGAGUUGCAGCAUGUCAAUGGAUUUUAAAAGAGUACCAGGAUUAAACUUCUCCAUGGCAGUGGGCAUUUGUGAAAGGUCUGUUCUGAAAUACCAGUACCAUCUUCUCACAUGUUAAGGGCCAAAAAUCUCAGUAAGUCACUCCAAAUCAGGUUUUACAGAUGAUUUUUUGAAAUAUUGAUUCUGGUAUUGUCCCUGAAAAUUUAAUUUAUCAAAUAAGCCAAUUAAGAAGCGUCUUUUAAAGGCACGUAGGGACCAUUCAGCACUGGAUGGACAAGAAAAUGAACAUAUUAAUCUUACAGUCAGCAACGUUUUGUUGAUGCUUUGGAAACUGAACUGCAAAGGAGUACUUAAAUGAACUGAAAGAGUUAAUUUGACUUCUAAGAGCCAUAAACUGGCUUGGGUUGGGUGGAUUCUGUAUUCCCAGACUCUGGUUCAAUAAAAAUGUAAAUG
rnacentral:lncRNA from 1 species